CAGUCGCCGCGGGAAUACGAAGGGGGCUAGCGUUGCUCGGAAUGACUGGGCGUAAAGGGCGCGUAGGCGGCGAUCAAAGUCAGGCGUGAAAUUCCUGGGCUCAACCUGGGGGCUGCGCAUGAUACUGGGUUGCUUGAGUGGGGAAGAGGGUCGUGGAAUUCCCGGUGUAGCGGUGAAAUGCGUAGAGAUCGGAAGGAACAUCAGUGGCGAAGGCGGCCAUCUGGGACAACACUAACGCUGAUGCACGAAAGCGUGGGGAGCAAACAGGAUUAGAGACCCCGGUAGUCCCUGUCUCUUAUAC
rnacentral:rRNA from 1 species